GCUGCUCUGUGUUUAGCUGCCUUUUUUUCAGCUCCUCUGGACUUUAUUCAAGACAUCUUCCAGCUGGAUGUUCUCUGUGGUCCAGUCCGUGCUAGUGGCUGCUCUGCAGAGGAGGUGAGUGGGAGUGUGCAGUACUGCAGUGUGAGGAGGAUGCUCUCUGAUUGCCUGGCAGAAGAAAAUAACCCUAUUUGGCUGCAGCCUCCCUUCAGGCUGAGGAGACUUAGUGAAGAGAGGUUGCACAUCGCUUUCAGCCAAAAUCACUGACAGAGAUCCUGGUGGUACAAUGCCUUUAGUGUGUCAGCAUCAGUGUUCGGCUAUGCUCUAAGAGGCAGGUUGCUUGGUCUUGCAGCCCUCAGUGAUUUGCAGAAAGGAUUUCAACUCCCUUCGUUUGCAGUUGGUGCCUGUGUAACUGCAGUUAAGUUCUUCAGCCAGGUGACAGGAGCAGCCAAAGCGUGUUCCCUUUUCCCCCUUCCCCCCCUGAAAGAACUAAGACUGCAUGGGUGAUGAGCACAAAAGCAAAUGUGUGCUUGUGGAAAGGUUGGACCAGAUGAUCCUCAGGGGUCCUGUCCAAUCUGGUGUUCUGAGUGUCUGUUUUAUGAACCUCCUUAAGUGUUGUCUUGAAUGAGCUUUUGGCCAUUGCCUAACAAAGGCAUGCCGGUGAGGUGUUGCCUCAAAGAAGUUAUCAGACUCAUGAACAGCUGCAGCACAGAGUUUUUGUCCUUCAAAAAAAAAUGAGGGGGGGAAAUGACAUAAAAAUAAACAAAAAAAAUCAAGAAAUGAAUGU